rnacentral:rRNA from 1 species
GAUGAACGCUGGCGGCGUGCCUAAUACAUGCAAGUCGAGCGAACAGACGAGGAGCUUGCUCCUCUGACGUUAGCGGCGGACGGGUGAGUAACACGUGGAUAACCUACCUAUAAGACUGGGAUAACUUCGGGAAACCGGAGCUAAUACCGGAUAAUAUAUUGAACCGCAUGGUUCAAUAGUGAAAGACGGUUUUGCUGUCACUUAUAGAUGGAUCCGCGCCGCAUUAGCUAGUUGGUAAGGUAACGGCUUACCAAGGCAACGAUGCGUAGCCGACCUGAGAGGGUGAUCGGCCAAACUGGAACUGAGAAACGGUCCAGACUCCUACGGGAGGCAGCAGUAGGGAAUCUUCCGCAAUGGGCGAAAGCCUGACGGAGCAACGCCGAGUGAGUGAUGAAGGUCUUCGGAUCGUAAAACUCUGUUAUUAGGGAAGAACAAAUGUGUAAGUAACUAUGCACGUCUUGACGGUACCUAAUCAGAAAGCCAAGGCUAACUACGU